rnacentral:rRNA from 1 species
UACGAAGGGGGCUAGCGUUGCUCGGAAUCACUGGGCGUAAAGGGUGCGUAGGCGGGUCUUUAAGUCAGGGGUGAAAUCCUGGAGCUCAACUCCAGAACUGCCUUUGAUACUGAGGAUCUUGAGUUCGGGAGAGGUGAGUGGAACUGCGAGUGUAGAGGUGAAAUUCGUAGAUAUUCGCAAGAACACCAGUGGCGAAGGCGGCUCACUGCCCGAUACUGACGCUGAGGCACGAAAGCGUGGGAUAG